UUCUAGCAUAGUGGGUGUCCUGUAGU
rnacentral:piRNA from 1 species